rnacentral:rRNA from 1 species
ACGGCUCAGUAACACGUAGCCAAUCUGCCCUCAGGACAGAGAUAACCCCGGGAAACUGGGGACAAUCCCUGAUAGGUGAGAAGGCCUGGAAUGGUUUCUCGCCCAAAAGGUACGGAACCAUGCAUCCGUUACCGCCUGAGGAUGGGGCUGCGGCCGAUCAGGUAGUUGGCGAGGUAACGGCUCACCAAGCCUAUAACCGGUACAGGCCGUGAAAGCGGGAGCCUGGAGAUGGGCACUGAGACAAGGGCCCAGGCCCUACGGGGCGCAGCAGCUACGAAAACUCUGCAAUGCGCGCAAGCGCGACAGGGCUACCCCGAGUGCCGUCCGCUGAGGAUGGCUUUUCUUUAGUUUAAUGAGCCAGAGGAAUAAGGGGAGGGCAAGCCUGGUGUCAGCCGCCGCGGUAAUACCAGCUCCCCGAGUGGUGGGGACUAUUAUUUGGCCUAAAGCGUCCGUAGCCGGUUCGGCAAGUCUUUCGUUAAAUCCAACGAUCUAAUCGUUGGACUGCGGGAGAUACUGCAGGACUAGGGGGCGGAAGAAGCCGACGGUACUCCUGGAGUAGGGGUAAAAUCCUGUAAUCCCAGGAGGACCACCAGUGGCGAAGGCGGUCGGCCUAGAACGCGCUCGACGGUGAGGGACGAAAGCUGGGGGAGCGAUCCGGAUUAAAUACCCCGGGUAGUCCCAGCUGUAAACGAUGCAGGCUAGGUGUUGGCGCGACUACGUGCCACUUCAGUGCCGCAGGGAAGCCAUUAAGCCCGCCGCCUGGGGAGUACGGCCGCAAGGCUGAAACUUAAAGGAAUUGGCGGGGGAGCACCACAAGGCGUGAAGCUUGCGGUUCAAUUGGAGUCAACGCCGGA